ensembl:snoRNA
GACCAAGGUGAGUCUCUCUCGAAGGGACUGACUAGUGCCCCUUUCCGGAACAUAGCAAUUUGGAAGCAAGUCUGGCAUGCAUGAAGUCUCUGGAGAACAAGGGAUGCUUUUUGCCUUUGCCUGCCUUUGGCUGCUUACAUGU